UCUGAGUGAGUCGUCCUGCUGGCAUUCUGUGGGAAUUAACCUUUGUUGCUGCUUGUUACCUGAUGCGGUGCAUGAACAAAGGCUAUGCAUGACGGAGUUUCACGUAGUCACUCAGCCCAAAGGAAACGUGAGCAUACACUACCCUCUGAUUCAGCCAAGAGAGGCGCUGGGUCACCCGUCUACCACAGAGGGACGCACUAGCUGAUUCAGAAAACCCGUGCUCAACACAGGAAAAAGCAGCAAGUCAGCACCACUCUUUUGUGGAGUGGUUAAAGGCAAAGACAAAGAUGAAGAAGAAAAAGAAAAAGAAGAAGAGGACUUGGAAGAGGAAGGAGGAAGAGAAGAACGAGGACAAGAAGGAGAAAUUAAUAUCCUUUGCAUUUACCAAAAUAAAGGAUUUUUUGUAAAGCUC